CUUUUAGUAUGAUAUAGGUGACAAGGAUCCUCUCAUUAAAGAGAUUAGCAAAGCUCUGGCCAGACUUUCACUAAGUGGACAGACUGAGCUAGAGUCCAGCCGCUUAGCCAAUAAUGGGGGGUCCAACAAAAUCAAAGAAGCCAAAGGUACCGGUCCCUCCGGGGCCAUUGAAGGGGAAUUUGUCCAGCAGACUUUGCCAUGAAGGAUUCCACUUGAGGCCCGAGACAAAACCAGUAAACCUAAGCAAACCCUGAGAGAAGGCUUGGAGGCCAAUCUAACACCUUCCCCUAAAAGGAGCUGGGAGGAUCUGGAAUCGAACGUUAUCGGAGGGCCAGACAGCCUUGGUCCAGAGAAAGAGGAGAAGAGCGGACAAAAUGCCAAUAAAGACGUCUUCCUGGGUGAGUAUUUGUUGCGCCAGAGCUUUUGAAAGGAAAUCUGUAAAUGCUUUUUAGUCCAGGACCAUUAAAGAAACAUCUCUGAGGGUCCAGCAGACUUUGCCACCUGAGGCGCAUAAGAAGAUGGCUACACCCAAAAUGAGUCCCGGUCCCAGCACAUAUUUAAAGAGCCCUGAUGAAAAUUACAACAGAACGAAUCAGACUCAAAAGGAGGGCUUGAAGUACAAAGGAAAACCCUCCUAUAAAAGGAAAUGGGAAGAUUUCCAUUCAGCCGGUAUCAGAAGGCCAGACAACCUCGGUCCACAAAGAAAGGAGAACAGUGGUCCUGAAACGUGUUCGGGCAGAUGGUGACAUUGUCAUGAUUGCCAUGCCAAAAAAGAGAAAUAGAAGAAGAAACAGGAGAUGCCAUUUGAAGCCCGUACAGGGGGCAGAGGAAUGGCG